UGCGGCUUGCUACGCGAGCGCGAGGCUUGGCGAGUACACGGUGGGGACCGCUGGCGCUAAGUCAGAGGAAGGGGUGGUCGACGGUAGGUCAGUAUGCCCCGAAUAUCCCGGGCUACACGCGGGCUACAAUGGACAGGACAAUGGGCUACUACACCGAAAGGUGGCGUCAAUCUCUUAAACCUGUCCUUAGUUCGGAUUGAGGGCUGAAACUCGCCCUCAUGAAGAUGGAAUCCGUAGUAAUCGCAUUUCAAAACAGUGCGGUGAAUACGUCCCUGCUCCUUGCACAA
rnacentral:rRNA from 1 species